GCGACCUUUGCGUCUACCAUUCUCUAAAUUUCACAAAGGCAUUGGCAUAGACUAAUCUGUCUUCCCAUAGCUCUAGUCCUUAACUUCUCUAAACCUUCCACUGUUGUAUCACCCCAUCUCCCAUCAUCUGGAACAUCAUCAUCAUCAUCCAAAUUAAUUGGAGCCGAUGGAGCAUGUGGGGAAGAGGGUUCAAAGUCUUGGUUACUCUCUUCUGAACUUUCAGAAGAGCUAGCAUCAGAGGAUAACUCACCUACUAGGUGGAAUCUACCGGGGACUUCUUGUGAUUGGGCUUCUGGCUGUGCUUUCAUGGAGUUGUCCUCAAAAGCAUCCCCAGAUGGGAGAUACUCACAGGUAUUGGAG
rnacentral:lncRNA from 1 species